GGCCAGAAUUGUUUUAGAAGGGAACAUUGGAAGGGAAGACAGCAGGGUGGCAAAGGCUGGAAUUUCUAGGAGCAACUUGGAAGGUGCUGGAUCGAAACAUCCCAAAGAUGAAGUACUCUAAAGGUUAAGUAAAGAUUAUGAUAAUUUCCCAUGAGGUCUGGGGUCAUGGCAGACCCAAUAAUUCAGCGUGGGAAAAAGUUUGCUAAAGUUUGUAAUAUUCCCUCAUGAUCAUGUGAUCCCUUAUUUUUAUGGGCAGGAUCUGCUGUAAGAUCUUGAAGACGAUUCAACAGCAAUGUGAAAGAUGACUGUCAAGAAGUAAUAAAGAAGGAGGCAUAGGAUCGUGAAGACACACACUGAACGAUUCAGGAACUGCUUCUCCCCCUCUACCAUUCGAAUUCUGAAUGGACAUUGAACAUAUGAACACUAUCUCACCACUUUUUUAUUUUUAUUUUUGCACUAAUUUAAUUUAACUCUUUAAUAUAUAUAUAUACUUCAUGAAAUUCGUGUUUUAUCCAUUACUAUAUAUUUCAUUGUACUGCUGCUGCAAAGACAACAAAUUUCACGACAUAGGCAGGUGAUACUGAAUGCGAUUCUGAUUAUGAAACAGAAUUAAAGUUUUUUUCUUAAAUUUCCUUGUGAUAAAUGUAUCGUUUUAAAUAUAUAGCUCACAAAGAUAGUUAAGGAUAUUUUUUGUCCUUUCAAGGAUGUGUUCUUGGAUCGAUGUAUGAGAAGAGCUUUUCUUUUUGCCUCCAUAGAUCAGAUAGCAUCCUGUUGAGUAUUUGCAAUAUCUUGUUCUUGUUGUGGCAAAGCUUGUGUUUGCCAUUUAAUCUUGAAAGCUGGCACCUCUAGCGAUGUAGAGGCUUCUCAGCAUGGCAGUAAGACAUCAACCUUGAGUUUUGUGCAAAUGUCAUAGAAGUGGGCGCUUGAACUUGUAGCCUUCUGGCUGAAAGGCAAGAAUGUUACCAACUAAUCCUUAGCUGACCUUGCAAGCCUGUAGUCACAUAAAGAUGAGCUGUUAAAAACCAUGCGUUCUUUUAUUUUCUCCACCAACAUUAAUGAAUAGAUUGUUCUUUUUGCAACAACAACGAUAACAAUCCAACAACCUUCGUGGCUAUUUCAGUGCUAGAACUUAAUUUUCAAUUCAGGCUUUGACAAGGAAAAUCAGAGAACCUGAAGCAAAAGAACCACAUUUGAACCAUUAAAUGGAUUAAUUUUAUAAUUUGUUAUCAUAUAAUUUUUGUCUAUGUAAUGGAUCUUUUUAAUAGUUAAGCAUUAAGGGAAAACUCCUUUUGCAAAUUCAAAAUCAGUUUGAAUAAUUUGUUUUAAAUGUAAAAUUAACAGAGAAAGGAGCAAAGCAAUUGCCUGAGUACCAGUGGGCAGUGAGGAACUAUUAGCUCUGCUUUGGUCUCCACUCUUACCUCUUCUCUUCCCCUCACCUGAUGCCCCUCCACCUUGGUUUCUCCUCUCUUAGAGCUUCCCUUUUUCUCACCUGCCUAUCACCUCCCACUGUUGCCUCUUAUCCUUCCCUUUCUCCCAUGAUCCACUCUCCUCUCCAAUCAGAUUCCUUCUUCUUCAACCCUUAACCUAUUCCACCUAUCACCUCUCAGCUUACCACUUCAUCCCUCCUCCCCCACUCAAAUGCAUCCCCUUCACCUGGUUUCACCUAUUAUCUUUCAGUUUGUCUGCCUUCCCCUCACCUCACCUUCUUAUUCUGACCUCUUCCCCCUUCCCUUCCAGUCCUGGUAAAGGGUCUCGGUGCAAAACAUUGGCUCUUUAUUCCUCUCCAUAAAUGAUUCCUGGCCUGCUGAAUUCCUCCAGCAUUUUGUGUGUGCCUCAGCUCAGCCUCCAGUUUCCAUACGUUGAUGUAUAUGUAAAAGGUUCACGUCGAAAUAAUGCUUCAGUUUUAGAAUCAUCACUCAGAUCCGUCUUGUCUCAGUAAUUUCCUUCAUACCCCUUUUACCUGGCUUCUUAACCCUUCUUAUAUAUUUUCUCUGUUUUCAUGGUUUUGCCAUAAUUUGCUUAUCCCUCUCCAUCUUCCAUUACAUUCUUGAAAAUUUUCUUCUCUUUUUGUAAAAGGUUUCGAUCUAAUACUCUAACAUCAACUUCUGUUGCCCGAUCAAAAAAAUGUCACUAAUACGCCAUUGGGACUUUUUACGACAUUGAAGAUUCCCUAUAAAUGGCAGCUGCCACUGUCUUCUCAGUGUUUUGUUUAUGCUGCCAUUAGUUCUUAUUAGAAUAUUGUUUACAUCCCUUCCCUAUAAUCUCCACUUGGGUAUACCAUCCAAAUGAGGUAUUUACUGUCUAAUGACUUACUUUCCAUUAGUUGCUGACUCUCUCUCUAAAUAUUGAUAAUUUUUCAUCCUUGAAUAUUAACACACCUGCCUUAUUUUCAAUAAGUAUGUCAAUUUAUGGUACUGGAGUUUUAAUUUCAUAGCAUUUUCAUAUGCAUGCCUUUUGUUGUGGUUGUUGAUGCUGUUUCUAUUAUUCCUAUGCUGCUCUCACAUGGGAGGAGUUCACAUACUGCACAAGCAGUGUUAUCAAUAAAGUUCAUUUGAAUAACCUGCAGGCUGGCCUCAGGUAUGUGCUCUGCACUCUCUCAAUAUCAAACACAACACCUUUGCUCUCAAGUCUUUUUCUUAGGGGUCUGAAAUCCUUUCUACACUACAUAUCCUUUUUGAUAGCCGACUGAUUCAGAUGCACUUUGACCCAACGUUCCAUCUUAUUCCUGACCCUAGUUGCAGCACCAAUGUUAAAAUGAAAUAGAAUUUUCUCUUUCCUGUAUCAGAUGUAGAUUUAUUACACUAAUCCCUUCAUUCCCAUGCUAAUUAGCAUUUGGCGGUUGUUGUAAUUCUGAGAUUGUUGUCCUCAGGAUCAUGCUUUUUAAUCUGGUCACAUGUUCCUUUCAGGUGGUCAGGGAUAUCUGGUGUGGAUUUUCAAAGGAGUGCAUUUUCUGUUUGUAUUUUACAAAUCUAGAAACGGUAGUGUUUUCCUUUCAUGAUUUCACAUACUGAAUCUCCUUUUUCAUUUGUACUUCCUCCAACCUGUCCACUUCGUUCAUUUACUUGUUGCAUUACUUUCGCCUUUCACCUGCUGCAUUUGUUCUCUUUGACAUUUAAUCCCUCCUGUCUUUAAUGGACCUUCCCCAUUUUCUCUCACCUGCCUUUCCCCUGUUUCUGUUUUAAAAGCUUGUUUACAUUUCCUGGUUCUGAUGAAAGCUGAUAGAUCCAAAAUGUUAUUUCUAAUCUACUAAUUAUAACCAGUUCUUUCAGUUUGGGGUUGUAGAAACACCUUCAUACUUUACAAACUGGAGUUUUUAUGGAGGGAUGGCUUAAAGUAACAGCGAGGCUGACGUAUAUUAACAUAAUUACAAAGUUAUAGAAGACAUCAGGACAUUGAACCCAUGAACACUACCUCACUGCUUUUUUAAAAUUUCUAUUUUUGCAUUAAUUAUUUAAUUUAACUAUUUAAUAUACAUAUAUACUUACUGUAAUUCACAGUUUUUUCAAUAUUUACCAUGUAUUGCAUUGUACUAGAGCUUAAAAUUUAACAAAUUUUGCGACAUAUGCUGGUGAUAUUGAUUCUGAAUUGAUUUACGGUCACCAGAAACAAGCCAUUGAUCUGGUUAACUGAUGUCUGAGAGGCAGGAGACAAAAAAAGUACAUAAACUAGGUAGAUAGUCAAUGGUAGGAUGUGAUGAGUCCUACCUUGCUGGGAUCUGCUUUGGAAGUGCAAGUUUAAACCAUAUUUAUAGCAACAACAGUGAUGGAAUAUAUAAUGUAAUGGAUGGAAUGUAUAAAGACAUUCAUAGGAUAGUAAAUAAUAUGAAACCAAUAUAUUUCAAAUUAGUAGAUUUGUUUACCCUGCUGAUAUGCAGCAUAAUACACCCAUAUCCAAGAGGGGAAAGUUGUGAUAAAUUGAUUUCAUUGUCGACAAAUGUGAAGUUUUAGAAAGGAUGUAAAAUUCUUUCGGAUAGGGCAUAUAUGAAUGUAGCAAAUUGUUGUAUAAAACAAUCUUUUGAUCCUUUCUUAUAAGAACUGUAUUAAAUACGGUAGUUUCUGAGCUUCACUGCACCAGAGGCAGUUUCUCCUCAUUUACCCUGCUAAAGAUCAUCACAGAAAACUUUUAUUACUUCCAUUCUCACUGAAACAGUUAUAGAUCUUUAGGUGUUUCUGCAUUGAAUGAAUUUCUUCAGCACUGUCUCCAAAGCUACAGAGUUCUUUCAAAGUUCAGUGCCCAAAUUGAACACAAUGAUUCAUCUGAGGCUUAAUCAGUGUCCAUAUGGCCUGAUAAAGAUGGAAACAAUUGGUACCUUUUUUGAUUUAAACUAUGAUUAUUUAUAAUAAACCUUACCUUGGCAACAAGUGACAAUACACCCUAUUAAGUGCUCAAUGCUGUGACUACCUCCUGUAUCUCUCCAAUGGCAAAAGCAAUUCAGACCUUUCUUCUAUGAAUGAUAAUUAAUGUAAAAUAUGGGAGGUUUGAGCUGAAAAAUAAUAAUUCUGCAAAUGCCACUUGUUCUGACAAAUGCCGGAGAAACUGGGGUGGAAUGGGAUGGGGUAGAGUGUUCUGAAUGGAGGUGGCAGUUAUUAAUAAUUGCCUUCACUUCUCCUUCAUUCUCUGAAAUGCAAUAAGAUGAGUGAUUAGGGUUAAAAUCUACUUGACACAUUCAAUGCAAAAUUCACAUUCACUCCAAAUGCAGUGCUGAGGAAUAUUAUAGGAGAUGCUAGUGUACUGCUUUAAGGAAGAACAGAUGAAUUAUUUGUGUUUGUUGAAACCAAUAUAGUUCUUCAUCAGACAACAUUAUUUGAAGAGAUUUCCUGACAAUUUUUAUAAUGUUUAGAGCAUGCUGUAUGUAAAUUUGUCAUUGUGAUAUCCAUGUGCAGUAAUGACUAAAAUGAAGUACUUCAUUGGCAGUGAAGCACUUUGGGAUAUACAGGUACAGAUGUAAACUAUGUUAUAUAAAUGCAAAACUUUUCUGUAGUUGCUUACUAAAAAGAUAGGCACUCUGAUUAAAAAUAUUCUAUGAUAAACUCAUAUUCACUGUUUUAGUCAAACGUUAAUUUAUUGCCCUUAUACAUAUG